AUCAUUAGCAGGAACUUUUCAUCUUUGCGGUAACUUCCUGGCCUGCCUGUCUAGCUCGGGAACUUCUAGUCCUUCCCAUGUUAGCAAAGCACUUCUGUUAAACUAGUACCACUGUGUUUCUCCGUUUUUAAAAAUAAAUUUUGGAGCUGGGCACAGUGGCCCGUGCCUCUAAAUAUAACUUCUGGGGAGGAUGGAGCACAAGAACCAAGGCCGCGGUGCAGCACACUGACCUUUGUCCCCCUGAGUUACAGGAUGUUAGAUCCGGUACAGAAGAGAAUGAGGAAAAGCUACUUAUCAGAGGAAAGAUCACCGAUCACUGGACAAAUCGUAACCAGGCUCUGGACCUGCAACAUUCCAACCUCUCCACACAGCGCGGUGGCUCUGAUUGGCCCUUCAACCUUUACAAACACAGCUGCUUUCUAGGAAUGCCCUCCCACACUAGCAAUUCCAUCGCCCUACGAGCUAAGAUCUGGCAUCUUCGAGUGCCAUGCAAGCAGAGAUUCAAAGUCAAUGUCUCAAAACUAAAUCACUUUUUCUUUAUCUUGAGACACACAUUCUUUUUCCUUUGUUUGACAAUAAAUUAGGAUGCUUUGUUUUUUGGCUUUUUCCGCCUGUCUAUGACUCCCUCUUAUCUCUUGAAUCCUGUUAUUUAUUUUUUCCACCUGAUGAUCUGAACACUGUCUACCUUUUAUGUAUUGCUUUCCAAUAUAAAUAGUUUUGGGUCAAGAA